rnacentral:rRNA from 1 species
CACGUAGGGGGCAAGCGUUGUCCGGAAUUAUUGGGCGUAAAGAGCUCGUAGGCGGUUUGUCGCGUCUGCUGUGAAAACCCGAGGCUCAACCUCGGGCCUGCAGUGGGUACGGGCAGACUAGAGUGCGGUAGGGGAGAUUGGAAUUCCUGGUGUAGCGGUGGAAUGCGCAGAUAUCAGGAGGAACACCAAUGGCGAAGGCAGAUCUCUGGGCCGUAACUGACGCUGAGGAGCGAAAGCAUGGGGAGCGAACAGG